GUGCUCGCUUUGGCAGCACAUAUACUAAAAUUGGAAAGAUACAAAGAUUAGCAUGGCCCCUGCGUAAGGUAAACACUCAAAUUUAUUAACCAAUGGCACCCCGAUGCAUUUAAUU
rfam:Myotis lucifugus cont2.45417, whole genome shotgun sequence.